CUCCACCUUUAUAUUUUGAAUUAUCGUUGGUUACUUUUCUUCGUGAAAUCACACUUCACACUCAGAACAGUAGGUGGUGGUAAUGUGCCUUCAGUUGGUGUGCCAUCCACCAUACACCCGAAAGAAGAAGAAGAAGAGGAGUUCUCAGAUUUGGACGCUGCGUUGUAGGUUUGAAGAUCCAGCUGUGAUCAGCAGUUCCACACCUCUGUGCUCAGACUGCUCUGCUGGAGAAACACCAUCAGCUCACCUGCUGCAGAAAUAAAUACUAUCCUGUUUCAAGUCUUCUCAUGCCUCUGGUGUCAACUGAUAGAAUUUACCUGGAUAUAAUUUAGCUUCACAAAUACAGAUUCAGAAGAUUUCACAAAAAUAUUAAUC
rnacentral:lncRNA from 1 species